rnacentral:rRNA from 1 species
UAGAUGCGAGAGUAGAGCAUAUCAAUAAGCGGAGGAAAAGAAACUAACAAGGAUUCCCUUAGUAACGGCGAGUGAAGCGGGAAGAGCUCAAAUUUGAAAUCUUCAAGGUUUUACCUUGACGAAUUGUAGUUUAAAGAAGUGUUUUCUGUUAGUGGAGUGGCAAAAGUUCUUUGGAAUAGGACAUCAUAGAGGGUGAGAAUCCCGUAUUUGGUCCGUUACUUUCUAGCUUUGUGAUACACUUUCAACGAGUCGGAUUGUUUGGGAAUGCAGGCCAAAAUGGGUGGUAAAUUUCAUCUAAAGCUAAAUAUUGGCGAGAGACCGAUAGCGAACAAGUACCGUGAGGGAAAGAUGAAAAGAACUUUGAAAAGAGAGUUAAACAGUACGUGAAAUAGUCAAAAGGGAAGCGUUUGACACCAGUGUUGCUUUUCCGAAAAUCAAUUACGAAUGUUUUAUUUUUGAGGAGUUAUGACUUCAUCGGCUUGCUCCUUUCUUUACGAAACUUUCUUAAUGCACUUUUCGGUUAACAAGUCAACAUCAAUUUCUUUUGUUGUAAAAGGGUAUGAGGAAGGUGGCUUUCUUUUCGGAGAAAGUGUUUAUAGCCUUGUACCUCUGCAAUCGGAGAGAUUGAGGUCUGCAGCGUAGAUCCUUCGGGGUUAGAUACAUUUGUGCUAAGUUAUAGCUUUUCAUAGACAACUUGUUGACUAUGUUAAGUCUUGUAGCUUACUCGCUUACGCUAUUUUACCUACGCUUAGGAUGUUGACGAGACUGUCGAUCUC